rnacentral:rRNA from 1 species
AGUGAACGCUGGCGGUAGGCCUAACACAUGCAAGUCGAACGGCAGCACAGUAAGAGCUUGCUCUUACGGGUGGCGAGUGGCGGACGGGUGAGGAAUACAUCGGAAUCUACUUUUUCGUGGGGGAUAACGUAGGGAAACUUACGCUAAUACCGCAUACGACCUACGGGUGAAAGCAGGGGAUCUUCGGACCUUGCGCGAUCGAAUGAGCCGAUGUCGGAUUAGCUAGUUGGCGGGGUAAAGGCCCACCAAGGCGACGAUCCGUAGCUGGUCUGAGAGGACGAUCAGCCACACUGGAACUGAGACACGGUCCAGACUCCUACGGGAGGCAGCAGUGGGGAAUAUUGGACAAUGGGCGCAAGCCUGAUCCAGCCAUACCGCGUGGGUGAAGAAGGCCUUCGGGUUGUAAAGCCCUUUUGUUGGGAUAGAAAAGCAGCAGGUUAAUACCCCGCUGUUCUGACGGUACCCAAAGAAUAAGCACCGGCUAACUUCGUG